AAGCGUUGUCCGGAUUUAUUGGGUUUAAAGGGUGCGUAGGCGGCCCGUUAAGUCAGUGGUGAAAGCCUCCAGCUCAACUGGAGAACUGCCAUUGAUACUGACGGGCUUGAGUACAGACGAGGUUGGCGGAAUUGAUAGUGUAGCGGUGAAAUGCAUAGAUACUAUCAAGAACUCCGAUUGCGUAGGCAGCUAACUAGGCUGUAACUGACGCUGAGGCACGAAAGCGUGGGGAGCGAACAGG
rnacentral:rRNA from 1 species